rnacentral:rRNA from 1 species
GACGAACGCUGGCGGCGUGCUUAACACAUGCAAGUCGAACGGAAAGGCCCUGCUUUUGUUUGGUGCUCGUUAGCCGAACGGGUGAGUGACACGCGAGUAACCUGCCCUUGACUUUGUGAUAACUCCAGGAAACACGGGCUAAUACCGGAUAGGAGCUCCUGCUGCACGGUGUGGGUUGGAGAGUUUCGGCGGUUGGGGAUGGACUGGCGGGUUAUCAGCUUGUUGGGGGAGUAGUGGCUUACCAAGUCUUCGAAGGGUAGCCGGCAUGAGAGGGUGAACGGCGACAUGGGUCCUGAGAGAGGGCCCAGUAGGCUACGGGAGGCAGUAGGGGAAAACAUGGCGGAGUGGGCCGGCGUGAGAUAUGAAGACGCUGCGUGCGGGAUGACGGCUUACGGGUUGAGAACCGCUGUCGACUGAGACGAAGAGUGAGUGACGGUAAUGGGUAAAGAAGCACCGGCUAACUACGUG